CACUUCACGUUUCCUCAGCCCCUUCUGGACAGGUACAUAAUGGGACACUUCACGUUUCCUCAGCCCCUUCUGGACAGGUACAUAAUGGGACACUUCACGUUUCCUCAGCCCCUUCUGGACAGGUACAUAAUGGGACACUUCACGUUUCCUCAGCCCCUUCUGGACAGGUACAUAAUGGGACACUUCACGUUUCCUCAGCCCCUUCUGGACAGGUACAUAAUGGGACACUUCACAUUUCCUCAGCCCCUUCUGGACAGGUACAUAAUGGGACACUUCACGUUUCCUCAGCCCCUUCUGGACAGGUACAUAAUGGGACACUUCACGUUUCCUCAGCCCCUUCUGGACAGGUACAUAAUGGGACACUUCACGUUUCCUCAGCCCCUUCUGGACAGGUACAUAAUGGGACAGUCCACUUUUCAUCACAUCCUCCAUGGAAAGUUACAGUCCACUUUAACCACCAACACCCCUUGCCCCCAUAACAUACAUGGGACAGUCUCACAUUUCUUCUGGAAUAAGACAUGACAGUCAUCCACUCCAGUUCACCCAAUGGGAUUCCAACAGAAUGACUUUUAUUCUACUGCACAUGUCUAAAGGACUGCCUUUCUGUUUAAAACAUCUAUGACAUCACACUGAGCUGCUGAUGUACUUAUUGAACAUGAUACAUGUACUUGUAUUUUCUAAUUCACUAUAUUAUGUCCUUAUUGAAACUUGAAGAAUGCUGAACAGGUCCAUUGAAGAUUUCUGAAGGCACUUCAAUAUGCCACUAUUUCAACAACAUAAAAUAAGCCUGUAUAUUGAGACAUGUUUACCUUCUCAUUGUAUCAAAUGUGACAAUAUGACAGUACAUUGCAGCACUUGCCACUUGUCAGGUCGCCAUUGUAAACAAUGAUUUGUCUCACCUGGAUAAUUAAAUGUUAGAUUAAACAAAUAAUACAUUGUUCCUCGCCAGUUUUGCAAACCAGUUGACAUCUCUAUCCAAACAGCUUCUAUCCAAACAGUAAAUGUUGACAUGAAUUAA